rnacentral:rRNA from 1 species
AUUGAACGCUGGCGGCAUGCCUUACACAUGCCAGUCGAACGGCAGCACGGGUGCUUGCCCCUGGUGGCGAGUGGCGAACGGGUGAGUAAUACAUCGGAACAUGUCCUGUAGUGGGGGAUAGCCCGGCGAGAGCCGGAUUAAUACCGCAUACGAUCCACGGAUGAAAGCGGGGGACCUUCGGGCCUCGCGCUAUAGGGUUGGCCGAUGGCUGAUUAGCUAGUUGGUGGGGUAAAGGCCUACCAAGGCGACGAUCAGUAGCUGGUCUGAGAGGACGACCAGCCACACUGGGACUGAGACACGGCCCAGACUCCUACGGGAGGCAGCAGUGGGGAAUUUUGGACAAUGGGCGAAAGCCUGAUCCAGCAAUGCCGCGUGUGUGAAGAAGGCCUUCGGGUUGUAAAGCACUUUUGUCCGGAAAGAAAUCCUUGGCUCUAAUACAGUCGGGGGAUGACGGUACCGGAAGAAUAAGCACCGGCUAACUACGUG